GGGGUUGUGGCUCAGUGGUAGAGUGUUUGCCUAGUAUGCAUGAGGCACUGGGUUUGAUCCCUAGCACCA
rnacentral:tRNA from 1 species